rnacentral:tRNA from 2 species
GCUGGGAUGGCUCAGUUGGUAGAGCAGCUGAUUCGUAAUCAGCAGGUCGUGGGUUCGAGUCCCAUUCUCAGCU